UUUCCGUUUCCCCUAAACCCUCUCUCUCUCUUACUUCCCAGCCGCAACCCACCCUUACAUUUAUCUCUACCUCUACAAACAAAACGAACGACGAACAAUAGUGGGUAUUGGGCAAACGGUGGGGCCUCGGGGGCCGGUCAUGGGCAAACGACACAAACGAUAGGGGCUCGGGGGUCUUGGGAAAAUGACGCAAAUGACGGGCUCAAGGUCGUGGGUGGCUCGGUCUCGUGAAGGGGUCGUGGGUGGUGGCUCUGGCGAUGGGGCUAUGGCAGUUUCUCUUUGUGUUAACGGAGAAGAUGAAGAAUGAUCGAAUAUAGUCCUGUGGAUUAUGCUCAAAUUUAUGAGAUGAUUAGAUUCUUCUUUCGUGGACUGCUCAAUUAUGUCCAUUGUAUUCUUUAAGAGUAAAGGAAGUCUCAAUCUGAAAGUUACAAAACUGAGGCUCAAGAUUCAAGCAACAAGACUGUAAGGCGUAUUCAUGUCAAAGGUGGAAGUCAUAUAUGAGUUGUUAUGAUUUUUCUUUAUUCAUUUCAAUGUUUAUUUGUUGUUUUGGAUAAUUUGUUUGUUAAAUGAGUACGGUUUGUAUAUGUGAGUUUGAUUUUGGACAAUUAAUAAAGAUGUAUUUUUAGAGUUA